GAUGAACGCUGGCUACAGGCUUAACACAUGCAAGUCGAGGGGAAACGACGGGGAAGCUUGCUUCCCAGGGCGUCGACCGGCGCACGGGUGAGUAACGCGUAUCCAACCUGCCUCUGACUGAGGGAUAACCCGUCGAAAGUCGGCCUAAUACCUCAUGGCAUCGUCUGCGGGCAUCCAACGACGAUUAAAGAUUUCAUCGGUCAGGGAUGGGGAUGCGUCUGAUUAGCUUGUUGGCGGGGUAACGGCCCACCAAGGCUACGAUCAGUAGGGGUUCUGAGAGGAAGGUCCCCCACAUUGGAACUGAGACACGGUCCAAACUCCUACGGGAGGCAGCAGUGAGGAAUAUUGGUCAAUGGGCGGGAGCCUGAACCAGCCAAGUAGCGUGCAGGAUGACGGCCCUAUGGGUUGUAAACUGCUUUUAUGCGGGGAUAAAGUGAGGGACGUGUCCUUCAUUGCAGGUACCGCAUGAAUAAGAACCGGCUAAUUCCGUG
rnacentral:rRNA from 1 species